rnacentral:rRNA from 1 species
AGUGAACGCUGGCGGUAGGCCUAACACAUGCAAGUCGAACGGCAGCACAGUAAGAGCUUGCUCUUAAGGGUGGCGAGUGGCGGACGGGUGAGGAAUACAUCGGAAUCCACUUUUUCGGGGGGGAUAACGGAGGGAAACUUACGCUAAUACAGAAUACGAUGUACGGGAGAAAGCAGGGGAUCUUCGGACUUUGCGCGAUUGAAUGAGACGAUGCCGGAUUAGCUAGUUGGCGGGGUAAAGGCCCACCAAGGCGACGAUCCGUAGCUGGGCUGAGAGGAUGAUCAGCCACACUGGAACUGAGACACGGUCCAGACUCCUACGGGAGGCAGCAGUGGGGAAUCUUCCACAAUGGGCGCAAGCCUGAUCCAGCCAUACCGCGUGGGUGAAGAAGGCCUUCGGGUUGUAAAGCCCUUUUGUUGGGAAAGAACAACAGCAGGUUAAUACCCCGCUGUUCUGACGGUACCCAAAGAAUAAGCACCGGCUAACUUCGUG